rnacentral:lncRNA from 1 species
CAUCUAUAAAGCUCACAGCCACGUGGGAGGGGUUUGCUUCACAAGAUUUUGGUCCACUGUGCUACUCUUAGGAGAAGGAGCUCAUCAUCAAGUCUUCCACUAAACUGUCCCCUCAAGAUUUCCAGGACUCCGGGGAGCCACACCCAGCUCUGGCCUCGCGUCACUACGCUCUGCAAUAGGAGGACGGUAGGGUCCUUGGCCAUGCUGGCUCGCCUGGUCACGGCGACUCCCACGCACGCCCGGACUCCUGGUGCUGGUGCUCGCUCAGCAGGCGCGGCUGGGGGCGGCUGACCGAGGGGCCUGGGCCCAAGAAGCUCUGCUUUAUGAAGACACCGGGCGCAGGGAGGUCCUCCAGUUCCCCCAUCCCACUGUGAGUGUCCAGAGGUGGAAGAGAAAGGUGUUUAGGGCAAAAUCUCAUGCCUAGAACUAGGACCAGCCGUGGCAGCAACAGGCCUCGCAGAAGCAAGGCUUGUUGUCAGUGGGGGUCUGGGAUCCCUGCAGGCCAAGGACAGCAUGCGAAGGCUGGAGGUUCACAGGUGGAGAUGUUGCCCAGGGGCCCUGGAGGCGUGGCCACAGCGUCUGGGU